UAGCAUAAGCACGAACCUUCUUGUAGUGUCUAUCCAGCAAAAGAAGAGAAAACAUAUGCUAUAGUGAGUUUCUCUCAGGCCAUGGCUGAUCUGAACCUUGUGUUCUUGUUCUUCCUCCUCUUGUCUCCUCCCAUCUUAUCCGGUCACUCUCUCUCUCUCUCUCUCUCUCUCUCUCUCUCUCUCACACACUCUCUCUCUCUCUGCUACUUGUUGCUCCUGACUCCAGUGAUGGGAACAUCGAUGAAUAGGAGGAGCUUGCUUCAGGCCAAGGGUGGCUGCCCUGUGAGCUUUGAGAACCAGAACUACACGACCAUCACCAGCAAGUGCAAAUCGCCAUGGCCUGCCGACCUCUGCUGCCCAGCUCUGAACGAGUUCGCAUGCAAUUUCAGCCAAUAUAUCAACGACGAAAGCACCAACUGCGCAGAAUCGAUGUGGGCCUACCUCAACGCCCAUGGAAACUAUCCAGCUGGCCUGUUUUCAAACGAGUGCGCAGUGCUUGACUGCAACGGUAACAAUAGCACCAUUAGUACUAACCAAACUGCUAAUGGAAGCGGCACCCGAGGGGCUAAAGGAAUAACAGAGAUGUACUCACUUGUGACGACCUUAAUUGUAUCUGGAUUCCCGGUGUUAUUGUUCUACUGAAUGAAGUACUCCCUCCGUUUCACAAUGUAAGUCAUUCUAGCAUUUCCCACAUUCAUAUUGAUGCUAAUGAAUCUAUAUAAAUAUAGAAUGACUUACAUUGUGAAACGGAGGAAGUAAGAAAAGAUGCACUAUCACACAGAAUGGACAUGUUACAGUUGUGGUAAUAAGUUGCGUUUCAGCAUAUAUAUACAUUACGAGAUAAGAGU
rnacentral:lncRNA from 1 species